rnacentral:lncRNA from 1 species
GUCCCCUGUGAUUCCCGCUGUAGGUGAUCGGGGACUUGAUGCAGAGAAUCCAGAGGGUACCCCAGUUCCCAGGCAAGCUGCUCCUGGUGCGCAAGCAGUUGACGGGCCAGGCUCCUGGGGAGCAGUGAGUACCAAGGGUGCCAGGUGAAGCCUUGGGGUGGGAGGGUGGAAAGCGCCUCUGGAGGAGAGGUGGCUGGUCACAGGGUCAAGCCUCGUGGAUGCUGGGCUGUCAUGCUGGGCACAGUCCUGCCCCCACCCAGCCAUGCCCCCUCUGCCAUCUCCCCUCAGGCUGGACCACCAGACCCUCCUCCAGGGCGUGGUGGUGCUGGAGGAGUUCUGCAAGGAGCUGGCUGCCAUUGCCUUCGUCAAGUUUCCCCCACAUGAUCCUCGCCAGAACGUCUCCCCAGCCCCGGAAGGGCAGGUCUGAGCCAGGACCAGGGCGGUGGGAGACUCCUGUCCACACCUCUGCCCCAGAGCUGCCUCCUGCCUGGCACUGCCGCCACACUCCCCUCCUGGGAUGGGGCUUCUGCUCCCGGGCUCACUCAAGGAGACUGCGGCAUGUUGACCACACCAGACUGGGUUUCAGGGAAUGGGCAUGCCAGGUGCCAAGGAGCCAAACAGAUGGCUUUCCAGGCAGCAAGGUCCUUGGGGCCUUCUUGGAGGAGCUUGGGUGACAGCCAGGAAUACACGGGCGGCGCCAGGCAUUACCUCACAGCGGGACUACACAGUUGCUGGCUUUGCUCCUGGGCAAGGAGGAGCAGGCCAGAGCCUCUUUUGCUUCCUUUUCUUGCCCAUGCCGCUUCUAGAAGCCAGGCACAGGUUGCCAAGAGGUGACACGAAACAGGAGGAAACUCAGUGACCUCUGCCUCUCCCACAUUCCUCCCCGCGGGGGAGGACCUCGCCACUCUGAAGAGCACCGUGCACAUGUGGGUGCACAAACGUGGGUGUUGGUGUGGACGGGGCGCAGAUCUCUGUGGAUGAACUGCGUCUGGACUCUUAAGAUUCAUAAAAUAUUCGAGGGUUUGGGAGUCACAGACCCUCCCCUGUCCUCAGUGCACUUUGGCGUUUGCACGGUGUCUUCCCCGGACAGCACAGCAAUAAAUGGUGUGAUUGCGUGGACACCGUGGCUCUGUUCUUGGCCAAGUUUCCCCUCCUUCUGCCCAGGACUCCACUGCUAAUUCGGGCCCAUCUUCCUCCCCAAGGAAGACAAAUUCUUUUUCUAGCGCUGCAGCAGGGAGGUGGGGUGGGCGGUAAACAGACAGGCUCUGGCAGUGCAGAUCUGCUGAUCCUCAGCGCCUGCCAGGAGCCAGACUCUUGGCGGAGCCGUGCCACUUCUGCUGGGCUGACCUGCAGCCGAGAGCCUGCCUACCCCGGAGACACCAUGAGGGAAUGGACCACGUGGGAGCAUCUGUGUGCAAGUCUCAUUUGGGUGUGUUUAUGCUGCGUGUUGUAUGCCUGUUUUAGUCAUAAAGUAGGCCUGAUAUUUAAAACCUUGUCUUUAAGUUCAAGGCUGCAGUGAGCUGAUUGCACCACUGCACUCCAGCCUGGGCAAUAGAGUAAGACCCUG